rnacentral:rRNA from 1 species
AUAAACGCUGGCGGCGCACAUAAGACAUGCAAGUUGAACGGACUUAAUCGAAAUAUUUAUAUUUUGAAGCGGUUAGUGGCGGACUGGUGAGUAACGCGUAAGGAACCUGCCUAUUAGAGGGGAAUAACAGUGAGAAAUCAUUGCUAAUACCGCAUAUGCCAUAGAUAUCACAUGAUAACAGUGGGAAAGGAGCAAUCCGCUAAUAGAUGGCCUUGCGUCUGAUUAGAUAGUUGGUGGGGUAACGGCCUACCAAGUCGACGAUCAGUAGCCGGACUGAGAGGUUGAACGGCCACAUUGGGACUGAGAUACGGCCCAGACUCCUACGGGAAGCAGCAGUCGGGAAUAUUGCGCAAUGGAGGAAACUCUGACGCAGUGACGCCGCGUAUAGGAAGAAGGUUUUCGGAUUGUAAACUAUUGUCGUUAGGGAAGAGAAAGGACAGUACCUAAGGAGGAAGCUCCGGCUAACUACGU